rnacentral:rRNA from 1 species
GACGAACGCUGGCGGCGUGCCUAAUACAUGCAAGUCGAACGCAGUGGGGACGGGUGCGUAACACGUGGGUAACCUCCCAUCAGAGGGGAUAACACUUGGAAACAGGUGCUAAACCGAUACUGAUGGAUGGACCCGCGGUGCAUGAGCUAGGUGGUGAGGUAACGGCUCACCAAGGCCACGAUGCAGCGCGGCUCGUAUAGGGAGAGAGUCCACAUUGGUACUGAGACCCGGCACAGAAGCCUACGUGAGUCAGCAGUAGGGAAUCUGCGGCAAUGGACGAAAGUCUGACCGAGUAACGCCGCGUGAGUGGAGAAGGUUUUCGGAGCGUAAAACUCUGUUGUUAGAGAAGCGGUAUCUAACAAGAAAGCCACGGCUAACUCCGUGACAGCAGCCGCGGUAAUAC